AACGAACGCUGGCGGCAUGCCUAACACAUGCAAGUCGAACGAGACCUUCGGGUCUAGUGGCGCACGGGUGCGUAACGCGUGGGAAUCUGCCCUUGGGUUCGGAAUAACAGUUAGAAAUGACUGCUAAUACCGGAUAAUGUCUUCGGACCAAAGAUUUAUCGCCCAGGGAUGAGCCCGCGUAGGAUUAGCUAGUUGGUGAGGUAAAGGCUCACCAAGGCGACGAUCCUUAGCUGGUCUGAGAGGAUGAUCAGCCACACUGGGACUGAGACACGGCCCAGACUCCUACGGGAGGCAGCAGUGGGAAUAUUGGACAAUGGGCGAAAGCCUGAUCCAGCAAUGCCGCGUGAGUGAUGAAGGCCUUAGGGUUGUAAAGACUCUUUUACCCGGGAUGAUAAUGACAGUGUUAAUAGCGCUGUUACUUGACGGUACCUGGAUAGGAAGCCCGGCUAACUCUGUGCCAGCAGCCGCGGUAAU
rnacentral:rRNA from 1 species